UCUCUGUUUUCUAUCUUUUUCUCAAUUCUAGCUGUGGUUGGAAUCCUAUUGUUGUCUGUUUCUCUGUCUUUUAUUCUCUGUGGCAAACGCCUUGUGUUCUCCGGUUUAGAUUGCUCUUUGUUGCUCUAUUUGUGACUUUGUCAUUGCAGUCUUUGAGUUACAGGCAUGCAUGCAUGCCUGUUGUUUGCUUUAGGCAGGGUGGUGUGUUUCAUAUGGAGGUUGAUUAUGCAGGCCUGGCUCUGCAAUUGAAUCGGGACUCUGUGCUUUUAUGGCUGCCAAACACCUCCAGGUCUGUUUUGUUCAAAACUCAAUAGAGGCCCGCCCUGUUUUUAGCUUCUGUUUUUUUAAUUCUCCAUUGUAACGCCAGAUGCUCCUCCACAGUAGAGGUCCGUCCAUGCACUGCCAUAAGUCACACGUCCCUUGCAUUCAAUAUUUCAUGACAGCUAUCUCUUUCUAGCUCUCUGAGGAAAACAACCACAAUA